AUGGCUAUGGCUCGCCCUAGCCCUCGAGGGACCCCAUUCUUGUCCCUGUUCUGCUGCCUCCUGGGGUUGCUGAUCCUGUGUCCCGGAGGGAAGCCCCAGACCGUGCUAACCGACGACGAGAUCGAGGAGUUUUUGCAAGGCUUCCUUCAGGAGCUGGACCCCCAGCGGAAGGAGGAGGCAGAGGGAGAGGGGAAGGAAGUGGAGCAGGAGCCCCCUGAAACCACCCUGACUCCCAAGAAAGGGAAAGCGGGAGGUAAGAAGCCUGUAGACACCGGAGUGGAAGGAAAAGAAGGGCCUCCGGAAAAAGCCAAAGACAAAGGAAAGAAAGGGAAGAAAGAUAAAGGUCCCAAGCCCACAAAGAGGCCUUUGGAGAACUCCCCGAAACCCACUAAGAAGGGGAAGGAGAAGCCCCCAAAAGCAACUAAAAAGCCCAAGGAGAAACGACCUAAGGCAACUAAGAAACCCAAGGAGAAACGACCCAAGACCACCAAGAAGCCCCCCACUGGGAAAAGUCCUCCCAUCCAGUUCUCCCUGGAGGACUUGGAGAGGCCUGUAGCCCCACCUCCUGUCCUGGAGAUCUACCCAGAUGAGGAAAUAGAAAGAGGCGGGGCCAUCUUUCCACCCUGGGAGGAUCAGGAAGGAGGGCAUACAGAUCUGGAAAGGAGGGAGUUCCAGCCAGGUGAGUCUUGGCAAGACCAGCUACAGAUAACCCCAAGCCCUAGAAUCCUCACAUGUGCUCAGCUAAAGCUCCCACUCCAGGCCCAACAUCUCAGCCUCCUUGCCACUUGGGAUCAACGGAGAAGGCAUCUGAUGAUGCUAUAA
rnacentral:lncRNA from 1 species